rnacentral:rRNA from 1 species
GACCAGUUUGAUUCUAGCUGACUUAUCUGCCUAUUCUAAAUUUACACAUGUGAGAUUUUUCAAGCCCGUUAACACAAAUUCAAAGUAAUCUUAAUGUGACACUUUGUUAAUUUGGUAUUUUAGACAGAUCCUCUAUACCUAUUAACGCCUACAGUGAAUAACCCUGUAAAAGUAAGGCCACUUAGCUUCGAUUUACGAUUAUAGAACUGGUUAAAAAAGUGCCAGCGACCGCGGUUAAACAUAAAGUUCAAGUAGAUUAUUUCGGUAUUUAUAGUAAGUUAUUUUUAUGGUUUAAAUAUAAAAUGUCAAGGGUAUAAUCUGAAUAAUUAAUAAUACUCUCGUAAUAACCCCUAUACAAAACUAUAAAAGCUUAGACAAAAACCAGGAUUGGAUACCCAAUUAUUCUAUGCCAGAAAAAAUACCGGGGGAGUACAGGCGCAUGUCUAAAACUCAAAGAAAUUGGCGGUAUUCUAACGUCUCAGGGGAAUCUGUCCUUUAAUUCGAUGACCCACGAACACCCAACUUUUUUUUGAAACCUACAGCCUAUGUAUUGCCGUCCUAAUUGUUUACCCCUCAAGGGUAGCAAAGUUUGGACAUAGAACACUUUAUAUAAAGUAGUGUCUUAAUGUCAGGUCAAAAUAUAGCCAAUAAAAAAGCAGAGAUGGAUUACUUCUAUACACCAACCAGCAUUCACCACAAACAAGUGAACCAAGAAGGACUUGAAAGUAAGAGCAGAUCUAAAAUACUACUCUGAAUACAGUAAUCUAGAAUAAGUACAAAUCGCCCGUCGCCCUCGUCGAAAGAUGAGGUAAGUCGUAACAUAGUGGAUGUAACGGAAGUUGCAUCUAAUAAUUA